rfam:Asian citrus Psyllid, Diaphorina citri - Florida Strain, whole genome shotgun sequence.
GCUCCCAUGGCGUAGUGGUCACUGCGCUCGCCUUGCACGCGGGAGACCCGGGUUCGAUUCCCGGCGGGCUCA